CCGCAGACCGUUUCCAGCGAGGCCCGGCCUGUCGUGGCCCUGUCCUUUCCUACCGUCUCUGCUAGAGCGACCUGAGGCCGUUUGAGGCCCAGCUGUGUCCUCUGCACAGCAGGGUUAAGAUUAACCUCUGACAAUU
ensembl:snoRNA small nucleolar RNA SNORA9